CAAAUCAGGUCUCCCACAAAGAGAAGGCGAGCUCAUUGCUCUGUUUACUCUCCAAAGGACGAGACCUGUUCCACCUUUCUUUGUCGAGUGCGUCCACAUCAGGCCUGCAGCUCCUCCUGCUUCUGCUAAUGGAUCCAGACUGAUCCCGGGGAGCCGGGCUGAGGAGGUGGAGGGGCCAGGAGGAAAACUUGGGGGCCCCGACGUCUGUGACCCUCAGGGUUGGCGAGGUCGGCUGGAGAGGAAGCGCGGAGCAGCAGGGGAAGUGGGAGCACCUGUGCAGCUACUCUUGCCUGUAAACAUGGAGCUGCUGCUGCUGUGACUGAGAGUGUCAACAUUAUAACCUCUUCACACUGUCCAUCACGUGUCUACUGAAGCCCUCCCUCCUGCUCGCCCAUCAACACGCCAACAGACAGUCGCACAAUCCUCCGAUGCCUCUUCCUUUUGAUAUGGUAUGUCUCAUGCUGCAGCUGGAGUCCCAUCCAUCCUAAUUACAUGCCCAGUGAGGAUUACAGGAUUACCGACAGCUCGAGAGGGUGCUGGAAAGCUGAAGAUGACACCCCGAGCUCAUCAGAACCCUGCUGGCUUUUCACCCCCGAGAGCCGCCCUGAGCGCCAGGCGGAGCACGCUGCACUGCAGAUACCUGCCCCCCCCCCUUCCUCCCCCCUCUUUCCCCUCCCUGCUGAGUAGCCUGUAGCCCCAGAGAGAGGCUAAACCAGGGGGGAUGAGGCUUGGGGUGGGGCUGGAGGAGGCUGGAUGAAGGGAUUUGAAGGUGGGGUUACAGCUGUGGAAGGGAGCAGAACAAGGGAAUAGAUGAAGGAAGGAAGGAGGAGGGGGUUUUGGAAUGGAGGAAGGAGCGAGGUAAUGCUGGAAGAGUUGGGGUUGGGUCGGGGUUGUGUAAGCAAAUCUGAGUCAAUUCAUCAUGUUAUAACCAAGCAUAGAACUGGGGAUAUAUUCAGUUUUCACAUUUUGUAUUCUUGCGUUG